rnacentral:rRNA from 1 species
UACAGAGGAGCCAAGCGUUGUCCGGAUUGACUGGGCGUAAAGAGCUCGUAGGUGGUUCGGUAAGUCGGAUGUGAAAUCUCCAGGCUCAACCUGGAGGGGUCAUUCGAUACUGCCGUGACUAGAGUUCGGUAGGGGAGUGUGGAAUUCCUGGUGGAGCGGUGAAAUGCGCAGAUAUCAGGAGGAACACCCGUAGCGAAGGCGGCACUCUGGGCCGAUACUGACACUGAGGAGCGAAAGCGUGGGGAGCGAACAGG